CACUAACCUCUCCCAGAAUCAGAUCACAUGGUGUCUCCAGGAGGGACUCUCCCCCCAGCAACCCAACCUCUACUGCAAAUCCAAACUGGCUCUAGUGUCAGAUCCUCCUGUCUCCCGUCUCCCUGCAGCCAGCUAAUGCUAAAAUAGGAGAGUGGAGCAGUGUGGUCCACUUUCCCCCUGGAGUGUUGCAGUGAGGGAUGGAAUCCAGCGCGCAGGCGGGCAGGGCCCGGGCCAAACUGAGCAGGAUUCCUGACACCAGGUUUCUAAGACAAGGUUCCUGAGACAGGGUUCCCACGUGAUACUGUGUCAGAUGUUUUGGUCUGGACUGACACUGGAGACCAUCAUUAUUCAUGGAGGCCAGAUGCAACAGGAACUAUAUCUUCACUACGCCAAAGACAUAAGGUCACAGUCUGAGGAAGAACUUUUGACCUGGUUUAGAAGGAAAAUGUCAUUGCCUAUUAAGUGUCAUGUGAACCUCGGGAAGAGAGAUUCACAAGCCAGAAUAAGUGGCCCUGUGCAGUGUCUGCAAGUUCAGUUCAUUGAUUGAUUUAAUCAAAUUAACAAAUACAUUUGGUAUACUGAAAAAUGUGGUCGAAAUGAACAAUGUUCGGAAUAUGAUCUGAAUAUAGGCUGGGAAAAAUACUAGUAAAGUUUAGCCUAUGGUUCCACCCCUUUUUUCAUGUGCAUGGCCCAUUACAUUAAUCUAAUCAUGCUCUGAAAUCCCCCCCUGGUCCUCUCUAAAAACCUGUAAAGUCCCAGGGGUCAGGUUUUGACUGGUGGGGUGGGCGUUGCUGGCCGGGGCCGUGGGAUGCUCUGGGCCCUUGCCAAAGCAUGCCAGGCAGCUGGGUGCACAAAGAUAUAGCCCUGCCAUUGUAUGUAUGUGUCCAACAUUCACACAGCAGGUCCAAAAUAAUCAAGAGGAGCCUGGUGAUACGUUUCUAUUAAUGAAGCAGUAGAUUGUGUCUUAACAAGGCAAAGCCAGCAGAGUUUGAACAUGGCUGCCUGCUAUUAAACCUAACCAUGACCCUAGCACUGAGAAGGGGCAAGCUUUCCUCAGACUGCCAGGAAGGCCUGCGUCUUAAACCUGAUCCUCCUAAGGUCCAGAGUUCCCAGUCUGACGGAGAAGGAAAGAGUGGGGUUGAUAGGGUUACUAGGUUACCACUAAAGUCAGUCAAAGUCAGUGAAACACAAAUAAACAGCUCAGAAAAUUGUUAGCUGCCAAAGGUUGUCUGUCAUUGGGUGGGCUGCUCCACAGUUGUGCUUGGCUUUGGGUUUCAUGUACUGUAUGUUAUAGAACUUGCCCGUGCCCGUCUGACCGGCAUGCCAGGCAAAAUAAUUCUCUAAAAAUACCAACCACUGUGUACCCAACAUUCCUCGGCAAGUGUCUGUGGUAGUUACAUGUGCUGCUGUGUUUUUUGUAAAUCACAAGCAUUUAGCACAGUCCUAGUUUGUACAUGUUAUUUGUAAUAUCUUGAUACACAUAAAGAUAUAUGACUGUAUUAUACACCUCACUAGUAUUAUCUAACGAUACAUACGUGUGACACUUUGUGCAUAGUCCCUUCAAAAGAAUUCAAACUCACUGGACAUUUUCUAAAAUGUGUUGUGUUACUGUCUGAAUUUAAAAUGGAUUAAUUUGAGAUUUUACAAUAUUAUUUGACAAUUAUCAAUAAAAAAUUUAAAUCUUCA